rnacentral:rRNA from 1 species
UACGGAGGGGGCCAGCGUUGUUCGGAAUCAUUGGGCGUAAAGGGCGCGUAGGCGGCCUGGCAAGUCCGUUGUGAAAGCCCUCGGCUCAACCGAGGAAUUGCGUCGGAUACUGCUAGGCUUGAGUCCCGGAGAGGGUAGCGGAAUUCCCAGUGUAGCGGUGAAAUGCGUAGAUAUUGGGAGGAACACCAGUGGCGAAGGCGGCUACCUGGACGGGUACUGACGCUGAGUGCGCGAAAGCGUGGGGAGCAAACAGG